rnacentral:misc_RNA from 1 species
CAGAGUUGCAAAACUCCCACAAACCAUCGCGAAUCUUACCCGUACGGUUGCCUCGGCGCUGGCGGUCCGGAAGGCCCUCGGGCCCCCCGGAUCCUCGGGUCUCCCGCUCGCGGGAGGCUGCCCGCCGGAGUGCCGAAACCAAACUCUUGAUAUUCAUGUCUCUCUGAGUAAACUUUUAAAUAAGUCA